rnacentral:misc_RNA from 1 species
UUUCCGUAGGUGAACCUGCGGAAGGAUCAUUAUUGUAUAACCGAGGUGCGAGGGCUGUCGCUGACCCGAAAGGUCGUGCACGCCCGAGUGCCCUCACACACAUCCAUCUCACCCCUAUGUGCACCACCGCGCGGGUCCCCCUUUGGCUUGUUCGGAGGGGGGCUUACGUUUUCACACAAACUUUGUAUGCAGUGUAGAAUGUAUUUUUUGUUUUUGCGAUCACGCAAUCAAUACAACUUUCAACAACGGAUCUCUUGGCUCUCGCAUCGAUGAAGAUCGCAGC